ACGUAGGUGGCAAGCGUUGUCCGGAUUUAUUGGGCGUAAAGCGAGCGCAGGCGGUUUCUUAAGUCUGAUGUGAAAGCCUUCGGCUCAACCGAAGAAGUGCAUCGGAAACUGGGAAACUUGAGUGCAGAAGAGGACAGUGGAACUCCAUGUGGGGCGGUGUAUUGCGUGGAGAUAGGGAAGAACACCAAAAGCAGAGGCAGCUAGCUGGUAUGGAUCCGCGGCUGAGCCUCGUAAUCUUGGAUUGCGGAAAA
rnacentral:rRNA from 1 species